GGAGAGUCAUCGAAAAUGAAGUACCACGGUACCCUAGAUAGCCGACCGGCCCAUACCCGGCUACGAGAGGGUCCGGUCCGGCAAACGUCCACAACCCACGAACCCCAUGCGGCUUGACGUUGUCGUGUCCGCAUGACUGUCGAUAAUCAAGGCCGGGCACAAACCCGUCCAUAAGAGAACUUUGAAGAAUUCGCAUGGAGUUCGUCACCGUAAAGGUAGCCCGGCAUCCUCCAUGCUCACCAUACUACCAAGACGCCCGACACAGCUGUCACACCAAGCCGCCCGGUCAGUACGUCAUUACGUCAAAAAUAAAAAAUACCAAAGCCCGUGAACCUGUAUAUCGGGUAAACGGGGCGUCCCUGCGAAACGCUCGCACAAGU
rnacentral:lncRNA from 1 species